GAAAAGUUUUAAAUAAUUUCUUAUUCACACUUAUCUUUAAUUAUUCUUAUUAACAAAACCUCUGAAUGUUGCCAUAUGGUUUAAAAUCCCAAUGUUAACUAGUUUAUAGUUUGGUUCUACAAGUGAUAAAUUUUUAUGUAGUGAUUAUGUGUCUUUGUCUAUCCCUUCAAAAACUUCUCUCUUCAGUUCCCUACUGUAAAUCAGAGUGGGAAGUUGCUGAGGUUUUGUGCAGAUCAGAAGCUAACUGGUGAAAAGGAUCUAGUGCUCUACUGUGUGCACCGAGGGAGGAACAGUCAUAAUUCAGAGCCCCAUCCACUUUAAGAGGCAGGAAUCAGAUGCCUCAGUCAAGAUGUGCAUAUGAGGUGAUCUCUCAGCACUUUGACAGCUCCAAACCAAAACUGGGGUGUUCUGGCAGUCCUUGAGUCAAGGAGGAAGGAACUUUGGAAGAAACGGGGAAUAUUGUGAGGAAGAAGAGGAAAAGGCAAGGGCAAUAGGAGGGUGCUGAGUGUAGUAAAAGUAUCGAGGAGGUGCCUGGAAGGUCCAGAUAUAAAUUCACAAAUAGGGCGGCUUCUUCUUGUGCUUUUUGUGAAGGAACUCUCAAGCACUCUGAAUCACUCUUGGUAAAAUUGGAUAAGAGGAAAACUUAUGCAUCCACCUGAACAGCAAAGCAUAUUUACUUUUACAUGGAACUUUAGGUAGAAUAAGAUUUAUGUAAGAAAAGCUUUAUUAAGUAAUUUAAAACAGAUUUCAUAUACACUUUAGGGGUUAUUGGCAGUUGAAGUGUUGGCUGAAAAAUAUGAUUUACUGUUGUAGAGGGGAAAUGAGAAUGGUGGAUGAAUGUGUGUGCAAUGUCCAUGAUAUACAGUCCACAAGGCUGAUGUGUAGGACAAAGCAAAGUCACACAGAAUUUACUUUGUGGGAAAAAUAGUGCUAUGUGUUAUUUUAGUCUCAGGGACAGGGUCAUUCCCCAGUAAAACAGAACUUCAAAGGGGCCUGAGUUUGGGACCACGGUUUGCCAUAUUUUGCCUUGUUCUGAAAGUGCUGAUGUUGACAGGUGCAAAUUUUACUGACAAGAAUGCAAAAAAGACCUGGACUGCCAGUUUAACUAAUUGUAUAUUAUUGUUAAAAUAUCUGUUAGAAUAUAUUUUCAGAAUAAAACCUUAGAAAUCCUAUUUACCUAGCAUGCCAGUAGAGUACUGGCAUAAAUCUAUGGACAUUUUAAUGGUAUUGGAAAAUAGACUUUUGUGUAGGAGAAUAGACUCACAUGUCUACUUUUUGAAACACUAUUGAGGAGGAGAAGAGAUUUGUGUUGAUAAUACAUAGAUCCUGUUACCUGGCAAGUCAAUUAUCAACACUUUUAAAAUCAAAUCAGUCCUCUAAACGAACUAAAGAAUGUUCUUAUCACCCGCUAAUGAUAUUAAUUAUACAUUUUAGAAAUAGCAGUAAUGCACUGUUGUGCCAGUGAGUCAUUGAUUCUUAGUUUAGCCACUUGUGGACUUUGUAGGAACUGUGUGAAUAUCAGGCUACAUGACUAUGAAAGAACAUGCAAUUGUAAAAUAUUCUGCUCUUCAAAAAUCCUCUGAAGCAGAGAAUGCUGAUUGGGAGGUACAAGAGCUUGCUUUCAUCUUGCAAUAAAUAAAUUAAUAUCCUUUUCACUGGCUGUGGGGAGGAAAAAACUUAAAUAUUAUUUUGAAAUCAAGGAUGAUUUCCUUCCCAUGUUGAUAUGUUGGAGAUGAAGAGACUAUAAGAAUUUUACAGAACAUUUCCAAAGAGUUCGUGCAAUGUUAACAAACACUGUACAAAAGAAAAAAAAAAGGUACUGUAAAUUUGUACUGGGAUUCUUACUCUGAGGGUAGAAUUGACCUGACUAUGAGUAGAUGUCCAUAUUUAGUAUAGAAGUCUUUCCUAAAAAUGAGCUUCUGUAGAGUUAGAAUUCCUCUGUCCUGUCUGUGUAAUGAGUUAAAUCUGGAAAACUGUGCUCCCUGAUUUAUCUUUAUGGAGCUGUUUCAAGGUGCCAAUGUACAUUUCACACUUGUGUGAAAUACGUGUCCUGGACACCUGGUACUGAGCAGCAGUUAAUCUCUUUUACAGAUCUACUCCUACUGGGCUAAAUCCACUUACUGACAUAAAUAUAGCCAUAUGGAGAGGACUUAUGUGGGGGAGGGAUCAAGCAAUGCUAAAGGAAUUGGACAAAAGGAGCCUUAAACGUGGCAUCUAAGACUAUAUGAAAAAUAACAGCUGAGCUAACUACUUACAUUCUCUCAGAUUUUCACAAGAGAGAAGCUAGGGCUGUAAAUUUGGGAUCAGCAAAUUUGCAAAAGCUUUUGUUACCAAUAUAACUAAGCAUAUUAAAAACUGCCCCAUGCUUCAUCCCUUCCAUUCUGAUGUUAAGAAAAGUACAAUAUCAUUCAAGUGACUUACUAAAAGAUCAGAGCCAAUCUCUAUACAUUUCUGCUCUAAUACUGAGUAUUUUUGGACUUGAGAAUGAAAUCUUAUUUUACACCAGGAAAUACCAAUAUUUCUCUGCAUUACUAGGUUCUCUUUUUUUUUUUUUUUAGCUUUCUUUCUUUUUCUGUCCCUGAAUUGGCCUUAUAACAACUGAUGACUAGACUAUAGUCCAGGUUAUAUUUUGAUGCAGGCAGCACUGUGCCACUCAUAGCAACUCUCAGCUACUUGCUCUGUGCUGGAAAAUGAGCCUCAUCCAAAUUCAGGUGGAGGCACUUUGGCAGCUAAUGAACACGUCAUCUGCUUCAAACUGUUGGACCUUCUCCCCAUCUUUGCUAGGAUGGUACACGGAGAGGUCCAGUAUUCUCUCUUCUGUCACAAAUUCUUCCAGAUCUCAGCAUCACAGAGUCAAAGGCUCUGUGUGUGGGAACAUGGUGUGUGGGAACUCAGGGUAUCAACAGCAAGUUUCCAGAGCUCUGUUCUUAGACUAGGAACUCUCUUGAUCCUUGUUUUGUGGACAGUCCAGUGGUCUAUAGGUUCUCAAGCAAACAAUUCUCCCUCUCACUCUGCUUGUCACCUGUGGAGUGCUUGCCACAAGAGUGGAGCAUAGCUGCAGUGCAACAUUUCUGCUCUGCGUUUCCCGGGCCACGUAAGUAGGUCAGAUGGGAAAUUCUUCCAUUGAACUGAUUCAGUUUAAAAGAUCUGCUUGUGAUCUCUAGAUGCCUGUCCCUGCCUAGACCAUCUACUGUGUUCACCACAUUGCAUUCCAAGUACAGUGUUUAUACUCUGGAUUAAAGCUCAUUUCUCCAAACAAUCCCUUCCCAAGACCUUGCUAUUUUUAGCAAUCAUUUUAAGAGCAGUGCUGCUGUUCCAUGUCUUUGUUUGAGGCAAUGUGGCCCUGCUGCAGGCAGUCAGGGACAAGCAAGGCUUUUUAGAGCUGAUCUGCACAAACUCAGCCCUAGUAGUGAAAUUGCUAUUAUUAACACACCCAUGACACUGCCCUAAUUGGAAACUAUAAACAUCAACUCUGAGGGAAAUUUUGCUACCACUGCAGCUCCUGCUGAUGCUACUAUUAUGACCUCUGCUUGACAGCAGUAGGAAGACAUGGCUGUGAAGUAAAGGAAGGUAAGGUCAGAAAGGAAAAGAAAGCCUUUGCCACCACAAUCCCUGAAAAAGUGCUGGCCCAGACUUCACUGAAGUGCCUGGUGUGGUGCCAUCUGCUCCAUCUCCAGGAGAGGGACCAUUCAGAAGAAAGCAGAGCAAUUGACCAAUGAGAUGAACCACACAAUCAUGAAUUCUUGAUUGUUUUUUUGUUUUCCUAUUAUAAUACUAUUUACAUCCAGCAUCACUUUUUUCACUCCAUUUAAUUCCUUGUGCUGAAAGGUUUCUCAUCUUCUGAAUCGGAACUCUCUUGAUUAGGGCUGCAGCUUGUGGCUACACCUGAUGAGCCACUUUAAAUCUUGCCCAGCCUUUGGUGCCUGUGGUGCUGGAAAACCGCUCUUUUGUACCUAUGGAUUAGCCUGCCCUGCUGCAAGAACUCCAGGUAGCUCCAAGACAGUUGUUGUUCACCUGGAUAUUCUUUGUUCAGUUUUCCCUCAUCCUUCUACAUGACGGCUGCAGCUUUUUGGCGUGUAGAUACAGCCAGUGGUACCUAAAGGUCAAUCAAGUAAAAGGGUGCCCUGAAGUGUUAUGACCAUGUGCUCUUUCUCUCCUUGAGAGUGGUGUCUGAAAAUAAUGUGCUGGUAGGGGAAGAUGGGGGCAUGCCAUGGGUAUUGUCCCCAGCCAGACUUUCCUGUCUAUUGGUCUGCCUCUGCUCACUAGACAAGGCACUUUUAGUUGUCCUGGAAACUGACAUGCCUCAUGUGAGCUCACUUGGGUCAGCUGCUAAAUGGAAACUUCCCUUUGCCCUGAGUAUUGUCUGCCACUAAACUCUGUAUAGAGGAUUCUCUCUUUUUUCACUUGAUCUGGAGUUUCCAUGAAGUCCAUUAGAUUUCUUACUUCUUUAUUUUUGCUUCUUCACUGUUGCUGAUCUGGACACCAGGUGCAGAAACAUGCAUAAUUAAGAGAUUUUUAUCACAUUGAGAGGUGCCUUAUUUCAAGAACUGCCCAAGUGGUCCUGGCAUUACAAAAAUUUGCAUUAAAAAAUAGAAAGACCAAAAAGCUUAUUGCAGCUGUCAGUAUGGGAGAGUUGAAUGACCAGUUUUGCCUAAGGUUUAAAUACACAAAAUAACAUGGGUUUCCAUGGAGAAUCUGUAAACAGUCAAAUCAGGAGAAUUAGGAACAGUCCAUGGAGAAUCAGGAAACUGUCCAAACCAGUACCUUUUUGUGGACAUCUGAAUGUAGUUGCCUGCAUGGGAGAAGACAGCAAAAGUGUUUCUUGAUGGGAGAUAGGAGCCCAGGUGAGUAUCUUCCAAGGAGAAAACCGCUUGAAUCAGUGCUAGUAAUCUACUUUUAGCUAGCUAAAUUACACCUUGACUUCCUGUUUCACUUGUGAUCUCUAGGUGUUACUGUGCUAUAAAUAAUAAUAGCACUUUUGACAAGAGAAGGAGAUUGAGAAAUUAACUAGGAGAAAGACUGAUUUUUUCAUCUUACAACAUAUGGGUAAUCAAGAGGGGGAAGAGAAUGUGUUGAACUUGGAAGGUUUGUGUGAGGCUGUGGUCCCACUCUUCCUUGCAGGAUUUGUGACAUUUCUUUUCCUAUGAAGAAGUUAGCAGUUAAAGCAGAUAAAGCAGAGAUUAAAGCACAAUGACAGGCAAAUUUGGAAAAAUUUGCAUAGUAACUUUCUGGCUAAAUUUUGCCUGUGAGAUCUAUAAAUCUGUCACUUUCAUGAACAUAAGAUUCUCACAAAUCAUGAGCCAAAAACUGAGAGAGCCAUCACUUAUUUUCACAGAAAAAAAAAUAGUUGUAAGAACAAUUUAACUAUCUUUCCAACCACGAAAAGCAAUCCUACCUUCUCAGCCAUCAUUUUGUAUGGCUGUGUUCACUGACAUAAUAGAAAUAAAAAUCACAAGUCCGCUAGUGAUUGAUAUUACACAAACUUUUAAAAUAUGAGCAGAACAGGUUUCAUUAUACUCUCUCAAUAAACUCUUCAAUGUUAAUUUAGACAAUUUUGCACAAACACUAACACCUUAGCACAAAACAUCAAUAAUAGUUCAACACACUUUAUCAAGGAGAGAACCUCACUUCUCAAACAGGCUGUUUUACCUGCUUAGAAUUUAACAACUGUAAUAUGAUAUAAUAAAUCUACCGUAAACUCAAAAGGCACCCAGUAUAGAGCUUCAUGAAUUAAUUUUCAGUUUUGUUUCUACUGUAGAAACCUUAGCAACCCUUUUAAUUUGUUUAGACAGUGCCCUGAAAAUUCCAGAAAACAUCUCCACCUUACUUUUUAUUGAAGAGUCUGUUUUAUUUAAAACCACCUAUGAUGUGGGACAGAAGUUGCACUUACAUUCAAAAAACUCAAAGUAGCAAAGAUUGAGAAAUUUCUAAAAUUGCCAAUAAUUAUCCAUAAUAUGUCAUGGCCAUCAAUAUUGAAAAAAUUAAACUUAUUUUUUGACAACUGUAGAUUCAAAACUUCACAUUUGUUGUACAUAGAUAUAUAACUUCAGAUGUACAACUUUACAAAAUUAGUAGAAUUCAGUAAUUUUGCUAAUGUGCUUCCAUUUCAGUAUUUGAAUUUUUUUGUCCUAUUUGCUCACAUUAUGAAUUUGUUAUCUAUAGUGCUAAAUUCUCAUAUUCCUGGAAUUCUAAAUGAAAGCUGAAAAAAAAGUCAUUGAUGGUGUAAAAGGCAGGACAAUAUUAAAUGUGUGACUCUCUUUAUAUAGAUUUUAUCUUGCUUUAAUUGAUGGUGCUUCCUGAUAAAUUAUUUGAACUUUUUAUCCUCAUACCUGCACUAUCUGUUAAUAAGAGUAUCAGGGCACCUUUUUGAAAAUGCAUCUGUAAGAAGAAACAAUGAUUUCAUGGACUGGUGAACAUCCAACACAUGGGAUUAAUCCAAAUUACAGAUUAUUUCUCUAAAAUUUUGGGGAAAUAUUCCAACUGUAUUUAAGACUUUAUUUAUAUUUAUGUUUGGGGUUUUUUUGCACAAGUCUGGGAAUUAUUAUUUUUUCCAUUUUUCCUCUAAAGUUUUUCUUCAGUAUUCUUUUUUAAUAUAACUGCUAUAUAAAGAAACAGCAUGGUAAGAAUUAUGUUGAUGGCUUAUAAGAGCAAUUUAAACCACAAAAUGAGGUGCUUUGUUUUUUAUCAGGGUGAAAGAAAACUAGGAUUAGGUGUUGCUAAACCUUCUAUUUUGCUAUAUCUUUUCAUUAAAAGCAUUUUGUCUUAAGUAAAUUCUGAUAUUUUAUGGGAGGUUAAGCAAGACAAAUUCUGCUAUCUUAUAUUUGUCCUGAGGAAUAUAAAGGUGUACUGCCUCACUCAUGUCUGGAAGAGCAAUUUUCAGAUCUGUCAAUUCUGAAGUUCAGACAAUACUGAGUAAUCUAUUUUGAGCAGUAAACCAUGGAGAAUAAAGUACCUCUCUGUGUAUGCUUAUAGAUACAGAAUGACGUAUUUGUAGCAUGUGUUCAUGAAGACUGAAUUAAUUUUACUCAAACCUUUAGAAGGAUAUUCACCUUUCAGCAUGGCUUAUACACAGAAAAUUUCGUCUUAUAAGAUUUCACAUGGAAAAUAAACAGCUAUGAACAACAAGAAAAGCGACUGGAGAGCCCAGUCGUCAUCAAACUGAAAGCUGUCAGAGCUUCUGUCACUGACCUACAGGUGAACAAAAUGUAAAGCUGCAGAAUAUCUCCCAUUAAAGCCUUAAAUCUACUCUCAUGUUAACUGCUGUGAAUCUGAAAAAGAUGAAAAGUGGGAUUAUUAAAAAAAAAGUGAGAGACAAAUCAAGUCUCAUGGGUUGAUCCCAUAGUCUGCAUGAAGCCUGCUGCCAUUAGAAUUUUAAAGUUAACUCACACCAUUUCACUUCAAUGUUUUCAAAAUUGAGGGUUAUUGGGUGAACCCUUCUGCCUUAUGUACAUACAAUGACAAGGAAAACCCAUAUCACUGCACUAUCAAUAAUAAGGAAAAAGAAAACAGAAGUAUCCAAAGCUCAGGAAGAGUUUGUCUUCAGGUCAACCUCUGUCUUACCCUGGGGGUUCAUUCUGUCUUGUAAUAGCUCUUCAGGCUUCUGGGUAUCAAGUCCUGCAGUACCUGGAAUGACUUGGGGAGUGCAGCGGUGGCUUGAGGAAGCAGUGACAGCUGCACCCCUCUGUGUGCUGGCAUUUAUGUCUGCAAGGAGAUGCAAGUGGCAAACAGAGUCUGUAGGGCAGAAGAAGCAGGUGGGGAGACAACGUCCUGUCACCAUCAUAUUUUCUAGGAAAAGUCCCUUUGCCGGGAUUUCUCUCCUGGGAAGCCGAGAAUCCUCAGAGAAAAAGGAAAACAAUAUUAUUUCAUUUGCUUCUCUUGUGUUUUGCUGCUUUGGAAUGUGGUUGGAGAUUGUUUAUCCAACAGGUGGUAGUUUCAUUGGUUUCAUGUGAAUUGUUUUGACUUAUUGCCCAACUAUGGCCAAGCUGUGUCAGACUCUGGAGAGAGAGCAAUGAAAUUUGUUAGUAUCUUUUUGGCCUUCUCUCUGUAUUCUUUAGUAUUCUUUAGUAUAUUUUAGUAUAGUAUUCUUUAAUAUAAUAUCAUAAAAUAAUAUAUUAGCCUUCUAAGAACAUGUAGUCAAACUCAUCAUUCCUUCCUUUGUCUGGGAAAGGAAGAACAUCCUGCGCUAAAAUUUUCUGGAGAGAUUAAGCAAUGCAGAGAGGUAUAAAGGGGUGUCAUUUUUCCUGAAGAAAAGGAAGGCUGUGGGGAAGAGAUGCACAAAAGUAGUUAUACUUCUGAAGGAUUCCUACUUGUCACCAUUCAAGGAUAGUAGCCCAGAGAAUUAAAACAUGUCAAUGAGAAAUAAAAAAGUUUGUUUAAAAUACUUGUGAAUAUUUAAUGCUGUUUUUUAAUGCAUAGGAUCUUUUGCUGCCAUUCAUGUGUAACUGGAAAUUGAAGAAUGGGAAGCCACAUAAUGGAAUUUCUAUUACAGGAACAAAUUCUCACACUUGUUUCUGUUUACAGGCUCAGAACUGAGGCUGAAAAAAAACCUCCCAAGAUGUUUAUAAGAGAAGAUAUCCAUUAUUUCCUUUAUUACAGACAGAAUUCUCUCUGUCACCUACAUCUAUCAUAAUAAAUGAGACUGCUCCUUCUGCAGGAUGCUCAGGGGUCUUACUUGGAGCCCUUGCUUUGGUUCCCCAUAUUCCUUCAACUUCCUUUUAUUGUAUCUUCAGCUACAUUAAUCCACAACAUGUUUAGACCUUACUUUUCAAAAAAAGCAGCAAGUUUAUUUUCUUUAGUCACUUAAAGGUGCCCAAGCAUUCUAACAUUUAAAAUUGUUAUUGGCUUUCAGAAGCUUUCAAAAUCAUGUUCAUUUUCUGUAACAAGGGAUAUGAAGAAGCAAUUGCUUCUCUUGUUCUUUUUGCAGUCUUUAUAUUUUUUCACAUAGCUUGUACUUUGAUCUGUAAAGCCACAUUGAGGUCUCUGAGCCAUCAUAUGCAGAAGAUGAUUCUUAUCCUUGAAAAUGGGCAUGAUCACAUAAUCAUAUUGCUCCUUUUCCUUUUCCUUUUCCUUUUCCUUUUCCUUUUCCUUUUCCUUUUCCUUUUCCUUUUCCUUUUCCUUUUCCUUUUCCUUUUCCUUUUCCUUUUCCUUUUCCUUUUCCUUUUCCUUUUCCUUUUCCUUUUCCUUUUCCUUUUCCUUUCUUCUUUUCUGAAAUUUCCUGAAAUUUCCUUUCCUGAAAUUUCCUUUCCUGAAAUUUCCUCUCCUGAACUUUCCUGAACUUUCCUUUCCAGAACUUUCCUGAAUUUUCCUUUCCCGAACUUUCCUGAAUUUUUCUUUCCCUUAAGAUGUAAUAACUUCUGGAAGUUUUAUUUUUCUCUUUAGCCUUGUAAAAUUCCCCCAGAAAAGUUCCAAAGCAACAUUGCAACUAUGCUAUAGAUCCUUAAUGAAAGCUGAGGACCCACAGUAGAAUAAUUAAUUCAUUCAGAAUUACGCAAUAUAUGUAAACUUUAAUCAGAUUUUGGGUUUUCUUACUCUUAAGUGUUUUUUUUCUUAAAGGUGUUUUUUAUAUACACACAUCAAAUGGUUUGCUAUAUCAUCAAAAAGUUUGAGGUUUUUUACUAUUUUCAGUUUGAAUGGCUUCUUGAUAAGCUGGACUUUUAAGACCUCCUGUUGUCCACCUUUCUGGUAAAUAAAACCUUUACAUGGAAUUAAAAGGUAAAGGACUAUACAUUGCCGGUACAAUUGACAUGUCUUCCUGAAACCAAUUUUACCUAAAUCAGGAACCAUCACUGACACUGGAAAACAGUCAGAAGUUGAUACAUGUUAACCUAAGUGCAGUAAAAUAGAAAAUAUGGAAGUGUAGAUAAAAAAGGGAAAGAAAAUCAAAACUACUUCACAUAUCUGAAUUAUUAUCUUGAAAAAUACUGUACUGAGAGUACGAGUAGCAAAUAUUUUUUAAAGUUUAAUCAAAUUUAGAUCCUUCCUGCAAUGUUGUUAAUGCUAAUUACUUGUUAAGCCAUUUCUGAAAGUGUUCUUAGAUAUCAGUGCCCAUGUGGGACUCCAUGGCUCACAUCCUUUGGGUGCACUGCAUGCAGCACAUCACUAGGCUGCUGCUGCUGUGGUAAGACUGCAGAGGCAUUGCAGUCUUGCUGCUAUCGUUUGUUGUCAUGGCACAAGUAAUAUACAAUAUGAAGCACAAAUAUUCAGAUUUUUUUUUUAAAUACCACUUUUUUCCUGAUUAUUUUCUUUUUAUUUUAAAGAAGAUUUAUGCAUGGUUAUAGAAGUAACUACAUACAGUAACAGUACAUUUGUAACUUCUUCUGCUGCUUAAGGAAUGCCAGUACCUACAUAGAUAUAUAACAUCCAGUGAUUAAGUUUCCAAAGAGUUGCAUUCCCUUAAUACAUUUGCUCUUGGCAUGUGUACAGUCAGAUUGAUUAACAAGGUUGUUUAUUAAUUGUCAAUUUCUUCAGUGACAAACAUUAUUAAUGACAAGUAUGAAGUGGCAUUUUCACUACCAGCUUCUUUAUAUAACUGCUGAAUGUGGAAUUUGCAAGUCAUAACCCAAAAUUAAAAGAAAAUAAACAAAGGAUAGAUUAAGUUAAUAAAAAUUUAAUUAGCUAGUAAUUAAGAGUUAUCCAAAAUACAUGCACUUGUUAAAGUACUGUGAUGCCUUUAGUUUUAGCUUUCAUAUUUUUUAGAUUCUGAACUGUCUUGGUGUGUAACUGAACUUAAUAUUACUUGUUAGUAAGUUCUCUUCACAUUUUAGUUAGACAAAACAAUCCUUUUCCAGCCUGAAAACAAAGGACACCAUUACAGCCUCAGGCCCAAAAAGCAUAAACAACGGCAAAUUGAGGAGAGCAAACCAGAAAGGUGGGACUUCAGAACCUGAAGCUAAAACUGGGCAAUUACCCCCAGUAUGUAAAUGGACCAAAACUUAUAAAAGUGUGAGACCUCCUGGCCAUUUUGCAUCCAUCUUGGGUCCAUCUUGGGCAGAGCUCCAGCCGGGCUGUUGUACUGCCCAAGGUGUAUCCUUCUGUUGUACUGCCCAAGGUGUAUCCUUCUAAGGCCCUUUUAAUAAAUACCUACUUUAUUUCUUCAACUCUGUCUAGCCUCUGUUCCAGAUCAGCCUCUCAAGGCAUCAGUUGAAGAGAAAUUCAUCAUUAAUGAGAAUUUCUUAGACAAGAGCUAUUCUUUAGUUAAUAGGAAUCUAUUAAUUGCCUGUCUCAUCUAGGGAGAUGGUCUGUAUGUCGACUGCAGGCUGUAUAAACGGAAUGACACAUGGAUGACAUGUGCAAUAUUUUAUUGCACCACGAGAGGUCACACCACAUUCAUAAAUCCAUGCAGCGGAAAAAUGGAUAAUGGCUCUAUCUGCAACAAGGUGAAGUUAAAUCUCAUCCAUUAAGUAAAAGACAAACAGAACAAAUUGUAAAACAGUAAGAUUUUUUUUCCUGUUAAAACACUCUCAGCCUGAGUGGUCUGCUGUAAGCCAUAUCCAAAUAGCCUCUCUCCUACACAUUUCAAGCUGAAGGCAGGGAAAAACAUAUGCUGAGCUGUGGUACCGUCUGAAUCAUUACCAGCAUAUGAUGUAACCUUGGAAGAAGGACAGGAUUAGUCUCUCCUUGGCAUGGUGGGUAACACAAUAAGAUGAUAUAUGUUGCAUUGGAUGGGAUUACAGUGAUCAAAUAAGCAUGUUUGGCAGCUCAGUAAGAAGUAUUAAAGCUGAAUUUAGCUGGAUAAAUUGCUCCUAGUUCAAAAAAAUGAUAGAUGCAGAAAGAUUUUAUUUUGCAGAGAUUACAGCCUGAACUUGUGUAACAAGAUCACUUCCUAAAGAUACCAUUCAGAAUUUUUAACAGAAGUUGCAGCAUGAUGCAGUGAUGUGGUUCUUGCUGCUUUGUGUGGCAGCAAUACCCCUUUGUGAUUCCUGUUUGCUCUCACUAACUCCGAGUGAAGCAGAGCCAAAGAAUGGAAGCAGUGCUGUGGGUGAAGGAAGCUGGGAAAUUAAUGCAGAGCCACUCUGCAGUGCACAGUGACAGGGCAAGACUGAACAGCCUUGCUGCCAGGGGAAAAAGGUUUGGAACGAAGUAUGAAGAAGCUGGUUCUUUGUUGCCUACCCUAAGGCAGACCUGCACAACAUCGCCUGGGUAGGGAGAUGGAUGCUCAACUUCUUCCACAACUAACCCUUCCUUCUGAAGGGUUAUUGGAUCACGUCACAUCAAGGUUAUUUCUGAGUACUUUUUCUACUUUCUAAGCUCUGUCUCUAGUGGGGAAAUGAUAAGACCAUAAUUAUUUGAUACCAAAUAGCAUAUAGUUUAUGUAAUUUAAAACUGCCUACUUAAGUGCCUAGCUUACAGUCUUUUAUAACUUCAGUAGUGUCCUUAGGGUAAACAACUCUUCUUUCACUCAGGUAAACACGUAAUUAGUGAAGAAGGAAUAACUUUGGGAAUGAACUGACCAGUAGUCAUUUUGGCUUUCUUCUCAGAAUUUAAAUAAAAAUGUUAUUUAAUAAA